rnacentral:misc_RNA from 1 species
UGGCUCUCGCAUCGAUGAAGAACGCAGCGAAAAGCGAUAUGUAAUGUGAAUUGCAGAACUUUGUGAAUCAUCGAAUCUUUGAACGCAUCUUGCGCUUCUGGGUAUUCCUAGGAGCAUGUCUGUUUGAGUGCCGCUUAACCCAUCAACGCGUACGUUUGUUUCGGCAGACGACGCGGGGCAAGUGGACGCGUUGAGGUACCCCUUAACGCGUCUGAAAUGCAAGGCUGCAGUGUGCUGCUAGCGUAAUAACAUUUCGCUAACGGUUGUAGUUGCGCCUCUAUACAGCCGUCGCUUGACGGCUUUCGAUUUUGACCUCAAAUCAGGCAGGACUACCCGCUGA